rnacentral:rRNA from 1 species
AGAGUUUGAUCCUGGCUCAGAGUGAACGCUGGCGGCGUGCCUAAUACAUGCAAGUCGAACGAUGAAAUUUCUAGCUUGCUAGAAGUGGAUUAGUGGCGCACGGGUGAGUAACGCAUAGGUUAUGUGCCUCUUAGUUUGGGAUAGCCAUUGGAAACGAUGAUUAAUACCAGAUACUCCCUACGGGGGAAAGAUUUAUCGCUAAGAGAUCAGCCUAUGUCCUAUCAGCUUGUUGGUAAGGUAAUGGCUUACCAAGGCUAUGACGGGUAUCCGGCCUGAGAGGGUGAACGGACACACUGGAACUGAGACACGGUCCAGACUCCUACGGGAGGCAGCAGUAGGGAAUAUUGCUCAAUGGGGGAAACCCUGAAGCAGCAACGCCGCGUGGAGGAUGAAGGUUUUAGGAUUGUAAACUCCUUUUGUUAGAGAAGAUAAUGACGGUAUCUAACGAAUAAGCACCGGCUAACUCCGUGCCAGCAGCCGCGGUAAUACGGAGGGUGCAAGCGUUACUCGGAAUCACUGGGCGUAAAGAGCGCGUAGGCGGGAUAGUCAGUCAGGUGUGAAAUCCUAUGGCUUAACCAUAGAACUGCAUUUGAAACUACUAUUCUAGAGUGUGGGAGAGGUAGGUGGAAUUCUUGGUGUAGGGGUAAAAUCCGUAGAGAUCAAGAGGAAUACUCAUUGCGAAGGCGACCUGCUGGAACAUUACUGACGCUGAUUGCGCGAAAGCGUGGGGAGCAAACAGGAUUAGAUACCCUGGUAGUCCACGCCCUAAACGAUGGAUGCUAGUUGUUGGAGGGCUUAGUCUCUCCAGUAAUGCAGCUAACGCAUUAAGCAUCCCGCCUGGGGAGUACGGUCGCAAGAUUAAAACUCAAAGGAAUAGACGGGGACCCGCACAAGCGGUGGAGCAUGUGGUUUAAUUCGAAGAUACACGAAGAACCUUACCUAGGCUUGACAUUGAGAGAAUCCGCUAGAAAUAGUGGAGUGUCUAGCUUGCUAGACCUUGAAAACAGGUGCUGCACGGCUGUCGUCAGCUCGUGUCGUGAGAUGUUGGGUUAAGUCCCGCAACGAGCGCAACCCCCUUUCUUAGUUGCUAACAGGUCAUGCUGAGAACUCUAAGGAUACUGCCUCCGUAAGGAGGAGGAAGGUGGGGACGACGUCAAGUCAUCAUGGCCCUUACGCCUAGGGCUACACACGUGCUACAAUGGGGUGCACAAAGAGAAGCAAUACUGCGAAGUGGAGCCAAUCUUCAAAACACCUCUCAGUUCGGAUUGUAGGCUGCAACUCGCCUGCAUGAAGCUGGAAUCGCUAGUAAUCGCAAAUCAGCCAUGUUGCGGUGAAUACGUUCCCGGGUCUUGUACUCACCGCCCGUCACACCAUGGGAGUUGUGUUUGCCUUAAGUCAGGAUGCUAAACCAGCUACUGCCCACGGCACACACAGCGACUGGGGUGAAGUCGUAACAAGGUAACCGUAGGUGAACCUGCGGUUG